GAGUUUGAUCAUGGCUCAGAACGAACGCUGGCGGCAGGCCUAACACAGCAAGUCGCAGGGGAAGCCCCUUUCGGGGGGUGGAGACUGGCGGACGGGUGAGUAACGCGUGGGAACCGGCCCCGGGGUGGGGGACAACCGCUGGAAACGGCGGCUAAUACCGCAUGCGCCCUGAUGGGAGACCAUUGGGGGAAAGCAGCGAUGCGCCCUGGGAGGGGCCCGCGUUGGAUUAGCUAGUUGGUGGGGUAAAGGCCUACCAAGGCAACGAUCCAUAGCUGGUCUGAGAGGAUGAUCAGCCACACUGGGACUGAGACACGGCCCAGACUCCUACGGGAGGCAGCAGUGGGGAAUAUUGGACAAUGGGCGCAAGCCUGAUCCAGCCAUGCCGCGUGAGUGAAGAAGGCCUUAGGGUUGUAAAGCUCUUUCACCCGUGAAGAUGAUGACGGUAGCGGGAGAAGAAGCCCCGGCUAACUCCGUGCCAGCAGCCGCGGUAAUAC
rnacentral:rRNA from 1 species